AUUGAACGCUGGCGGCAGGCCUAACACAUGCAAGUCGAGCGGUAGAGAGGUGCUUGCAUCUCUUGAGAGCGGCGGACGGGUGAGUAAUGCCUAGGAAUCUGCCUGGUAGUGGGGGAUAACGCUCGGAAACGGACGCUAAUACCGCAUACGUCCUACGGGAGAAAGCAGGGGACCUUCGGGCCUUGCGCUAUCAGAUGAGCCUAGGUCGGAUUAGCUAGUUGGUGAGGUAAUGGCUCACCAAGGCGACGAUCCGUAACUGGUCUGAGAGGAUGAGCAGUCACACUGGAACUGAGACACGGUCCAGACUCCUACGGGAGGCAGCAGUGGGGAAUAUUGGACAAUGGGCGAAAGCCUGAUCCAGCCAUGCCGCGUGUGUGAAGAAGGUCUUCGGAUUGUAAAGCACUUUAAGUUGGGAGGAAGGGUCGUUACCUAAUACGUGACGAUUUUGACGUUACCGACAGAAUAAGCACCGGCUAACUCUGUGCCAGCAGCCGCCGUAAAAC
rnacentral:rRNA from 1 species